UUGAGCAAAGCGCCAGCACACAAGUGAGAGGGGGAGACCUACUUUAUGAAUUUAUGAGUGUAGACUUGUGAUGCUAAUGUAGCCGUUCCGGCUUAAUCCUUGGUGCACCUCGUUUUUCGGGUAAUCCGAGAAUGAGAAAGGGGAGGGCAAACAAAUCCCUUUUUAAACCCCCACAAAACAUCAUCAGACAUAAACUACACAUCUGCCUGUCUAUACAAUGGCAAGAGCAAGACAUUGCACUAUUUGCAACUGUUUUUGUUGAUUCAUUCUCCUAUGUAAAGCUCCAAUCUUUGCCAUCCUCUUUCUGAGCCAAUUAGGGUUUUUGUUUUUUUGAGCUGUUUUGCCAUGGCAUUCAGGCCCCAAUUUUUCCCUAGGUUGUUUUAUCCCCCCAAGAGGCCAGAUCAAGAACCGGGAGCAAUGGUUGCUUCAGAGAUCUCGGGCAGUUCAGCGUUAACGCCUGGAGGAUUUUGCAGUUUGCUGUGGUUGGACAUGUAGAGUGAUAAGUACAUUGUUGUUGUUGUUGAAGUAAGGAAUGAAGCCAUCGGUCCGUGUAGCAUAUUAAUAGCUGUAUUUAACUUACAGUUGCUGAUUUGCUAUAGCUCAAUUUAUGUUGUAUGAAAUUUUUCUUCAUUUUUUUUUUGGUUUGGGUUUUCUUUCUAGUUAUCCUGGAACUUGUAGUGGUGUUUGAAGUUUGCACAUUGUGCAAUCUUGGACCUAUGUAGUAUCUGUUGGCAUGGGAAUUUGCUUUUCAGCAGGGAAUGUAGUCUCAUGUUGUCUUGUGGGUUGCUUAUGAUUAAUUUAUAUUGGUUUAUCUGUUAA